rnacentral:rRNA from 1 species
UACGUAGGGGGCGAGCGUUGUCCGGAUUUAUUGGGCGUAAAGCGCGUGUAGGCGGCCGAGUAGGUCCGCUGUGAAAACUCGAGGCUUAACCUCGAGACGUCGGCGGAAACCACUCGGCUAGAGUCCGGAAGAGGAGAGUGGAAUUCCCGGUGUAGCGGUGAAAUGCGCAGAUAUCGGGAAGAACACCCGUGGCGAAGGCGGCUCUCUGGGACGGUACUGACGCUGAGACGCGAAAGCGUGGGGAGCGAACAGG